rnacentral:rRNA from 1 species
GACGAACCGUGCGAACGUUGUUCGGAAUCACUGGGCUUAAAGGGCGCGUAGGCGGCUCGACAAGUCGGGGGUGAAAUCUUUCGGCUCAACCGGAAAAGGGCCUCCGAUACUGUCGAGCUCGAGGGAGGUAGGGGCGGACGGAACUUCCGGUGGAGCGGUGAAAUGCGUUGAUAUCGGAAGGAACGCCGGUGGCGAAAGCGGUCCGCUGGCCCUCUACUGACGCUGAGGCGCGAAAGCCAGGGGAGCAAACGGG